UGCCAGCAGCCGCGGUAAUACGGAGGGUGCAAGCGUUAUCCGGAUUCACUGGGUUUAAAGGGUACGUAGGCGGGCUUAUAAGUCAGUGGUGAAAUCCUUCCGCUCAACGGAAGAACUGCCAUUGAAACUGUAAGUCUUGAGUAUGAUUGAGGUAAGCGGAAUGUAGCAUGUAGCGGUGAAAUGCAUAGAUAUGCUACAGAACACCAAUAGCGAAGGCAGCUUACCAAGUCAUUACUGACGCUGAGGUACGAAAGCGUGGGUAGCGAACAGGAUUAGAUACCCUGGUAGUCCACGCCGUAAACGAUGUCUACUAGCCGUUGGGACUCUUGAAGUCUUAGUGGCGCAGCUAACGCACUAAGUAGACCGCCUGGGGAGUACGGCCGCAAGGUUAAAACUCAAAUGAAUUGACGGGGGCCCGCACAAGCGGUGGAGCAUGUGGUUUAAUUCGA
rnacentral:rRNA from 13 species